AGUCGGGUAGCUCAGUUGGUAGAGCACUUGCCCUCGAAAGGCAAAGGUCCCGAGUUCGAGUCUCGGUCCGGCAC
rnacentral:tRNA from 1 species